rnacentral:rRNA from 1 species
AGUUUAUCCUGCUGGAGGUCACUGCUAUCAGGAUUCGACUAAGCCAUGCGAGUCAGGGAGCAAUCCCGGCGUAAAGCUCAGUAACACACAGUCAACCUGCCCUAAGGCGGGGGAUAACCGCGGGAAACUGCGAAUAAUACCCCAUAGUUCAAAAAUGCUGGAAUGCGUUUUGGAUCAAAGAUUUAUCGCCCUAGGAUGGGACUGUGGCCUAUCAGACUGUUGGCGGGGUAACGGCCCACCAAAUCGGAGACGGGUACGGGUUGUGAGAGCAUCAGCCCGGAGAUGGGAACUGAGACAACGUUCCAGGUCCUACGGGACGCAGCAGGCGCGAAAACUUCGCAAUGCGGGAAACCGCGACGGGGGAAUCCUGAGUGCUUGCACAAUGCGCAAGCUUUUCUUGAGUCUAAACCACUCUUGGAAUAAGGUCUGGGCAAGACCGGUGCCAGCAGCCGCGGUAACACCGGCGGAUCGAGUGGUGACCAUGAUUACUGGGCUUAAAGCGUUCGUAGCCUGAUGUGUACAUUUCUGGUGAAAUCUAGCGACUCAAUCGUUAGGCGUGCCCGAAACACGGCGCAUCUUGGAACCGGAAGAGGUUAGCGGAAUUGUGGGGGUAAGGGUAAAAUCUGUUGAUCCCCGCAGGACCACCGAUAGCGAAGGCAGCUAACCAGGACGGCUUCGACGGUGAGGGACGAAACCCUAGGUAGCGAACCGGAUUAGAUACCCGGGUAGUCUAGGGCGUAAACGAUGUCAGUCAGGUGUCGCGUUCAAUACGUUUGAAUUGCGGUGCCGAAGGGAAACCGUUAAACUGACCGCCUGGGGAGUACGGUCGCAAGGCUGAAACUUAAAGGAAUUGGCGGGGGGGCACCACAAGGGGUGAAGCUUGCGGUUUAAUUAGAUUCAACGCUGGAAAACACACCAGGGGCGACGAUUGUAUGAGAGUCAAGCUGAUGACUUUACUCGAUAAGUCGAGAGGUGUUGCAUGGCCGCCGACAGCUCGUGUCGUGAGAUGUCAGGUUAAGUCCUGCAACGAGCGAGACCCACGCCGCCUCUUGCUAAUCAUUUCUCCGGAAGUGAUGCACAGUGACGGGACUGCCCAUGAUAAAAGGGAGGAAGGGGUGGGCGACGGUAGGUCAGUAUGGCCCGAAUCUCCUGGGCUACACGCGAGCUGCAAUGGUUGGGACAAUGGGAUGCCACGCCGAAAGGCGCAGCAAAUCCUCUAAACCCAGCCCUAGUUCGAAUUGAGGAUUGCAACCCAUCCUCAUGAAGAUGGAAUCCCCAGUAAUCGGAGUUCAUUAGACUCCGGUGAAUACGUCCCUGCUCCUUGCACACACCGCCCGUCAAGCCAGCCGAAUGAGCUUUUGAUGAGGUAUGCGACAUUGUGCGCGUAACGAGUCAGAUGUUUGUAAGGGGGCUAAGUCGUAACAAGGU